UGUGGAAAGCAAGGGAUGCAUGCCGAAAAGCGGGGCUGCAAUGCAAGGUGAUGGAUUAAGGGAUUGCACAUAAAGAAAUAAGCAAAUAAAACAUACGGUACGAAGGAAGAAAGGGGGACUGUUGCAAAAAAGGGGGGCUAUGCUACAAAAGGAAUAGGAGUAGGAAAAAAAAUGGAGCACGCUGUGAAAUGUAAAGGGCUGCCGUGCAGAAACGGGUGCGGGGCAAAAGGCCUCGAGGUUCUGCCCGCUCCUCUCCAUCCAAGGCCAGGAGAAGGCAAACCCAGCGCCGUCCCUCACUGCAGUCAGCACGUAACAAAGUCAUUGCGGUGCGGGCAGACCGGGCCCUGCGUGGCAGAGCCUUUUAUUAGCCUAUAGCGCUGUUUAUCUGCAACGACUCCAAAGUUCAGUGCUGGAUGAGCCCCGCGGGUUGGCUGUGCUCCAGGCUAAGGCAAUGGAAGGAGCUCACCACAUCUCGCUCCCUGUCGGCCGCGCUCGCCGUGCUUACCCAGCCCUUCCCCUGACCAAACUGCCCUUUGAGUUGGAAGGUGCCCACAAGGAUCGAGUCCAGCAACACCGUCCCGGCCAUGGAGCUAUAGGUCACUUCCCUUUGCAAAUCUCUCCAUUUAAUCAGCCCUCUGACGCACGUCGGUCUGAGCCUCGGCAAACCUGAGCCUUAUCCCCGGCUCUGCCUGUAAUCCCACUGUAGCCCCGUGCCUCAGUUUCCCCCGUGCUGGUGGCUGUGAAGCUGCUCUGCCCAAUGGAGAUGGACUGAUUGAAAGUAUAAAAAAGCAAUAACCUCUUGCAUGCAAACCAUCUAUUAGUUAAACGUGUGACCAAGCCACGCACACGCAAGGAAAAGCACUGCAACGUGCUCUAUUAUACAUUUCUCCAUGGAAAUGGGCUCAGCUCUUUGUUUUAACCAGCCAGAAGCCCCAAGAGCAGGAACUGCUUGUCUAUACCUUCCUUAAGGGAUUCCAUUCUGGAGAGAAAGGAACCUCUCCUUCCCCAAACCAUGCACCAGCUGGCUUUUCCACACCAAGCUUUCCCCUAGCCAGGUAAGCAUGCCUCCUGUGACAGCACUGCCAAUCAUUUUCCUCCCUCCCUGCCAGGGAAGCACCUCCGAGGGACAAGAAAAAGCCACGCAGUCUCCCAGGUCCUUCAAAGAAACCUCACACAGGGUCACUGCUGUCACACUGCGGGCAGCCUGGCUGGAAGGACAUCCACAGGAAAGGAGCUGUCACAGACAAAGCCUGCAGAUGGAAGAAAAGGUUGAAAUUAGUACUUAAAAUGCUCCGUUUACAUGAAAAGCCAGCUGAAACAGGAGCGCAAAGCCCGGCCCAUGGUGCAGAACAAAGCUCUGCAUCGUUCCAGUGCUUCUAGUGUGCUUUGGGGGGAAGCUGUUCCCAGUUGCAACACACAGCCACGCUUGGGCAGUGCUGCUGUAACCAGAUCCCUCUCUCAUCUGAAGCUUUUCAAGAACACAGAUUGGAGAGAGCGUGACCUGCGUCUCAGAAGGCCAAGGGGACCUCAGUAAAGGAGGUGGCAGCAACCGGUGUCAUCCUGGUCACUGCACGAGGACCUGUGUGCAGCCUGCUGGCCUGUCCUGCUGACAGCAAGCUUGGGAGCAAGCAUCAAAGGUCAACACUUGAUCCUGCACCCCUCCUACUCAAACGGCCAAGAACAGGAGACUCCAUCCAGCUGCUCUCCAUCACCCAUCAUCUCACCCACCAGCACACGCCAGGGCAGAGCCCAGGGCUCCGCAGGGCACUGUUUAAUUGCUCACCCACACGGGUAGCGCUCCAAGUCUUCACGAUGUGUUAACUCUGUCCCUUUGAGUCACUGCAUCAGCUGUACCAGGAUUCUCUGACUCCUUUUCAAGCACUGCUCCCAGCCAGACUCCAUGCUGUUCUCAUCCACACAACGCAGGGGAUGAGAGCUGCUGCAAAAUAAUGCCACUGUGGCCAAUGGCUGAGCAUCAGUUACCUUCUGCAGCACAGCAAACGCAGCUCAGGAGCUCCUGGAAUUUGGUUUAUGCUGAACCCAUUUGUGUAUAUAUAUAUAUAUAUAAAAGCACACUUCCGUUUUCAAAAUACGUUGCUACCCAAAAAUAGAUGUUUCUUCAACAGCAGAGCACGGAGCAAUUGCUAAGCCAUGCAAGCAAAACACCAUGUACAGCCAGAGGACUGCAAAAGAACUCACUCUUGCUUACUGCAUAGUAGAAUUUUUUGGAAUUAAUACCUGAUUUUUCACCCACUGUGGAAAAAAAAAUAGGAACAUUACAGCGCCAGCUUCUGCCCUGGUUCCUUUUGCCCCCAAACAUCUCUGCAAUCACAUCCUGAAGUGCUGUACCUGCUAGUUUUUUUUCCAAACAUGAAGCAUUUCAUCCUCUAGGCAGAGGGCUUCAGUCUUCCAGGCUGUGAAACAGAACAUUUCAGGGGAAUAAGAUGAAAAAAAAGAAAAGCCCCCCAGCCCCACCUGAUUUGACUACUGCAAAGGAUACAAACCUCCUGGGAGUGGAGAGAUCACUGUAUCCUGUAUGUUGCCAUGUUUAACACACAGCUGCAGGGCGUUACCUCUCCAUGAAAAGGCCCACGUGCAAUGCCCAGCAGGAAUGACAGAAAUCACGCUGGAGAAGUCACAGGACAAGGGUUUAAAACAGUGCAACUCUGUGAGUUGAAGGCUGCUCUUCUUCACAUCCCCAAUCACAUCUGAUUGUCAUGCCCAGAGCAAAAUAAAUAGCAAGCCAGCUAUCUUCAA